ensembl:lncRNA
GCUUCAUACAUGAGAAAUAUUUCUUUUGAUCAGAGUAGUUUGCAAGUGCGUGGGUCAAAUUUAAGCAUCGAGUUUUUAACGAGUGGCUCCUGUGUGUGAAGUGCUACAUGAGCUAGCUCUGGGGUAGACAGGCAGAACAGGGCACCAAACAUUAAAAUGGGCACGGGAAAGAUGUUUAAUGAUGGUUCAAGGUGGACACUAGGAGGAGCAUGAGAAAGCAGCACACGCAGGUUGCCCUCACUUAGUGUCUGCUGAGCACAGCCUUCAAGUCGUGGGAGACGGGUGUCCUGAGGCCUGAUGGCCUGUGUGCAGCCCCCAGCAUGUUCAGGAGCUCAGAUGAAGAAGGGAAAAGAGAUUUGAUUUCUGUGCCUAUUAACCACGCCAAUAGAAGGUUGUGUGAAAAAUGAAGCUAUUGGUAGAAGUUAGGAAAAAAAUCUAGUUAUAAGACCAGCAGAAGACCUGAACUUCAGAGAAGACCACAAAUGAAUUGAAUUAAAAGCACAGUUCUCUUUUCAAAAGCUAACACGAAAUGAGGAUGGGUUUUGUACAAAAGCAGCUGCUCCUGCCAGUGGGCUUAUGCAUGUCCUUCUUUCAUAUGCCACAGUCAGACCUAGGAAAUUCCCUGGGAAGUCCCCUCUACCACAGUGCUUGCAGUUUCUCCAUUUGACUAUGAUUCUGUUGGAUCUUGGGAGAUUGAUCUUCAGGAAGCUGUUAUCACAAAACAGCUCUUCCUGGAGUGAGGAGAGAGCAUGGUACCUGGGAAGACAAAGGGAGUGGACUGGGACGCGGAAAUCUGGUUCCCAUUUUAGUUCUACAACUAGUAGCCUGGUGGCUUUAGGAGAAGCCUGCCAUUUCCCUGGCCUCAAUGGUUUCGUCUGUAAAUUGGAACGGCCUGGAGAUGAUAAAAGUGAAAGCAUCUAUCACCAUGCCUGGAAGUGUUCAAGAAAUGAUUCUUUCCUGCCUGCUGACUUCCAUUUUCCAUCUGUAAGAGCAAAGAGGAAAAGAGGCACAGGAAUUCCCAGGCAAGAAAUACAGAUAGUAAAAGCUGUUGCACGGAGCUCCUGGAAGGCUGGUGAGCAGAGCAAAUGGACAAGAGAAGCUAUUCACAUCUUCCAAACUCUGAGACAAGACAUCCUGGGACAAAUCACUGUGAGGACUGCAGCCAGUUAUGGCAGGAGGUCCCGUAUCACUGAAUCUGGAGCUGGAGGGGUCCAGGAAACACCAGCAGUCAUUUUGCCGGAGAUAUUGAUCAGCCAGAGAAUACUCGUCUGUGAACUGGGUAAAUCCAGGGGCAGGACUGGAGGCAGGUUUACCUGAAGUAAGCAACAGUGUCCGGUGGAAUGAGGAGCCUAACAUUCUAGGUGACAAUUUUUACAUCCAAUUCACUGGAAAUAUGGUUGAGUUUCUUGGUAGGAAAAUUAAUUUUUUUAGCACUAGGGCCUCUGAACCAGCAGAGUUCCAAGAAUGAGAAGUAAACAUUUAAAAAGUCCAGCAUUGGGUGAAAUACUAAGGGUUCCUUUCCUAUUUCUGCACUUUGGUUGGUGGAAUUGUUUUCCAACUGUGGAAGAAACACUAUAUAUUGGUCACUCGUUC